rnacentral:rRNA from 1 species
UACGGGAGGCAGCAGUGGGGAAUAUUGCACAAUGGGCGCAAGCCUGAUGCAGCCAUGCCGCGUGUAUGAAGAAGGCCUUCGGGUUGUAAAGUACUUUCAGUCGUGAGGAAGGUGUUAAGGUUAAUAACCUUAGCAAUUGACGUUAGCGACAGAAGAAGCACCGGCUAACUCCGUGCCAGCAGCCGCGGUAAUACGGAGGGUGCGAGCGUUAAUCGGAAUUACUGGGCGUAAAGGGCACGCAGGCGGUUAAUUAAGUUGGAUGUGAAAUCCCCGGGCUUAACCUGGGAAUGGCAUUCAAGACUGGUUAGCUAGAGUCUUGUAGAGGGGGUAGAAUUCCAUGUGUAGCGGUGAAAUGCGUAGAGAUGUGGAGGAAUACCGGUGGCGAAGGCGGCCCCUGGACAAAGACUGACGCUCAUGUGCGAAGCGUGGGGAGCAAACGAGGAUUAGAUACC